rnacentral:rRNA from 1 species
UACGUAGGGCGCAAGCGUUGUCCGGAAUUAUUGGGCGUAAAGAGCUCGUAGGCGGUUUGUCGCGUCUGCUGUGAAAGCCCGAGGCUUAACCUCGGGUCUGCAGUCGAUACGGGCUAGCUAGAGUGUGGUAGGGGAGAUCGGAAUUCCUGGUGUAGCGGUGAAAUGCGCAGAUAUCAGGAGGAACACCGGUGGCGAAGGCGGAUCUCUGGGCCAUUACUGACGCUGAGGAGCGAAAGCGUGGGGAGCGAACAGG